rnacentral:lncRNA from 1 species
GGGUUGGGUGGGUUCCAUUCUCACCACCACAUGAAAAAUAAAUAAAAUAAAGGCAUUGUGUCCAACUACAACUAAUAUAUGUAUGAAAUUCCUAAAGGGGUCAAUAGAGGUAAUUCUUUUUCCCCCAGUAGGAGGGGAAAAAAAUGUUUUUUCAGGUACCCAGGGGCACUUUACCACUGAGAUGCAUCCCCAGCCCUUUGCCACAAAGUAGCUGAGAUAACAGGUGUGAUCCACCAUGCCUGGUGAGAUAAAUAUAUUUUUAAAUUUUAUUUAUUCUAAUUUGAAUACAUGACAGCAGAAUGCAUUUCAAUUGGUAGUACACAUGUAGAACACGACUUUUCAUUUCUCUGGUUGUACAGAGUGACACCAUUGCUGUCUUAAUACAUGAACUUAGGGUAAUGAUGGCCAUCUCAUUCCACCAUCUUUCCUACCCCCAUGUCCUCUCCCUUCCCUUUGCCCUCCAAAGUUCCUCCAUUCCUCCCAUGCUCCCUCCACCCCCAUUAUGGAUCAGCAUCCACAUAUCAGAGAAAACAUUUGGCCUUUGGUUUUUUGGGAUUGGUUUACUUCACUUAGCACAAUAUUCUCUAACUCCAUCCAUUUAGCUGCAAAUGCCACCAUUGAGACAAAUAUUUUUAAAGGCUUUUUAAAUGUGUUGCUGAAUUUUUCCCAGCGAGGUGCACAAGUUUGAAGUUAGAUGCCUGCUGUUUGAAUCCCAGCUCUGGCAUUUUCUAGCUAUGUGACUUAAGCCAUCACUUUCCCUCUUUGGGGCUUCGUUUGUUUCUUCAUCUGGUUAAUGGGGAUAAUUACAUUUAUUUCAUUUCAUAGAGUCACUGUGAGAAUUCAAAGUAUUGCCACGUGUGCUGAUAGGAGUCUUACUUGGGCUUUUAUUCCUUAGUUUUACAAUAUUCCAGAUGAUUCAUCUCAGAAUCCCUUUACACUUUUUCCCCCAAUAUUGGGGAUUGAAUCUGAGGGUGCUUUACCACUAAGCUACACCCCAAAUUCUUUUUAUUUUUUAUUUUGAGACAGGGUCUCCCUAAAUUUCCUAGGCUGGCCUUGAACAUGUGACCCUCCUUUCUCAGUUUGAGGAGUUGCUAGGAUUAUUAAGCCCAGCCCUUUACAUUCUUAUCAUUGAAGAGCUCAAAAGAUUUGGGUUAUGUGAGUUCCAUCUGUCACAAUUUAUCACAUGAAUUUUAAAUUGAAAAUUAAAUUGCAGUAAGAAUCCUCUGCCCAACUAUCUUCACCAAAUAGAAUCAGCAAAUCAGUGUUUUACACUUUUCUUUUUCCCCUUAUGUGAUGGAGUUUUGCUAUGGUUGCCCAGGCUGCUCUUGAAUUUGUGGGCCUGAGAAAUCCUCCCGGCUUCAAUGUCCCAAUGAGCCAGGACUACAGGCCUGUGCCACUAUGCCUGGCCAUUUUUAUUUUAUUUUAUUUAUUUAUUUAUUUUGAAAUAGGGUCUCACUAAGGUGCUUAGAGCCUCGCUAAAUUGCUGAGGCUGGCUUUGAACUUGUGAUUCUCCUGCAUCAGCCUCCUGAGCCUCUGGGAUUACAGGUGUGGGCCACUGAGCUCCAGAAGGCCUUUUUAUUUAUUUAUUUUUUUCGGGGGGGGGUGGAAAUCAGGAAUUGAAUGCAGGGGCACUUGACCACUGAGCCACAUCCCCAGCCCUAUUUUGUAUUUUAUUGAGUUUUGUAUUUUAUUGGUCUCAUUGAGUUGCUUAGUGCCUCGCUUUUGCUGAGGAGAUUGGCUUUGAAUUUGUGAUCCUCCUGUCUCAGCUUCCUAGGCUUCUGGGAUUACAGGUGUGUGCCACCUUGAUAGCUUCAAAAAGAUCCUCUUAAACAGAGUGGCUUUUCUGCCGCUAGUGUGUGGUGAAAAACACGUGCAAUUUGAUAUCAUCACCCUGUAUUGUUUUUGCAUCAUCAGCACAGAUAUCAACACAGUGGACCAGGCAAAAGACUUCUCAGUAUUCCUAUGAAGAUAAUCUGGAAGGGGUGGGGGGGCUGGGGUUAUGGCUCAGUAGUAGAGGGCUUGCCUAGCACGUCUGAUGCCCUGGUUUCGAUCCUCAGCACCACAUAAAAAUAAAUGCAAUAAGGGUGUUGUGUCCAACUACAACUAAAAAGUGAAUAUUUUUAAAAAAUACUCUGGAACCUCCUGAAAGGUUCUUGGGAGUCACCCCAGAACUCACCAUGAAACAGAACACCAGGAGUCACCAUGUAACAGUGGUCCACUUUAUGCUUUGAAUAUAACCCUUGCUGCUCUGCUACU